UCGACGCGCUGCUGGAGGUGGUCGAGCUUGACGACGAGGGAGGUGACGGAGAAGAGGAUCCAGUAGAGGAGCAGCGCGGCGGCGAUGAGGAGGGCGUUGCGCUGGGACUUCAUGAUGGACUUCUGGUGGCGGAGGUGCUCGGAGGGGGUGCAGGCGUGCUCGUCGUCGCAGGUGGGCCGCAUCUCGUACUUCCAGUAGAUGUCCAUGAGCAGGAAGAGGCAGAAGGGCACCACCGACAUCAUGGGCUUGAGCGCGCUCCGCACGACGGAGAUCAUCCCGCGCCGGAGCGCGUCCAGACCCGGCAGCGUCAGCAGCAGCAGCAUGAUGGCCUCCGCGCCCGCCGCGUACCCCAGCACCACCCACUCCAGCGCCAUCGCGCGGCCGGACCUCUCGCCUUCCGAUUCGCCGGAGAUCGCUUUGCUUGGGGG
rnacentral:lncRNA from 1 species